rnacentral:rRNA from 1 species
UACGUAGGGGGCAAGCGUUGUCCGGAUUUAUUGGGCGUAAAGAGCUCGUAGGCGGUUUGGUAAGUCGGGUGUGAAAUCUCCACGCUCAACGUGGAGGGGCCACUCGAUACUGCCAUGACUCGAGUCCGGUAGGGGAGUGUGGAAUUCCCGGUGUAGCGGUGAAAUGCGUAGAUAUCGAGAGGAACACCUGCGGCGAAGGCGGGUUGCUGGGCUGAUACUGACGCUGAGGCGCGAAAGCCAGGGGAGCGAACGGG